GGCGACGUAGCCAAGUGGUAAGGCAGAGGACUGCAAAUCCUUUAUCCCCGGUUCGAAUCCGGGCGUCGCCUCCA
rnacentral:tRNA from 1 species